CUGGGACACAUGGAUAAAUAAAUUGGACAAUAUAUCAGGCCUUUUAUGCUCUUUGUAGUGAUUUCUCUUUCUUGCUUCUUUUUUUUGUUUCUUUUAAUUUAUACUUUCCUUCCAUCAGAAUUCAGAUAACAAUAACCAACAGAGGUAGAGCAUACGCUCAGUUGCAGCGUAGGGAAGUGUUAGACCAGAGGAGGAGUGAAGAAGGGAAGGGCAUACAACCC